AUUAUUUAAAAUAAUAUUUAAUUGAAUUUGUAAAUAAUUUUUUUAUAAAAAUAUUUUAUUUUUAAUUUGUUUUAGUAUUUAGUAAAAAUAAAUUUUUAGAUUUAUAGUUAAUAAGUAUUGUAAAAGAAAUUUAAUAAAUAAUUAAAAGAUUUAAUUUAAGUCCCUUUUGUAUCAGGGUUAAUUAAAAUUUUUAAUUUAUUUUAAUUUCUCAAAAUUUAUAGAGUUAAUUUUAUUAUUAAUUUAUUAUUUUAUCAAUAUUUAAAAAAUAAUUUUAGUUUUGAAAUUUAAUUUCGUUAUAAUAUAUUUAGUUAUUUAAGAUUUAAAUUUAAUUUAUAAUUUUAAAAGUUAUAUUAAUUUUUUUGAUAUUAAUAUUUUAAAUUUAAAUUAUUUUAGGGAUAAGCUUGAAAUUUUUAUAUAAUUUAUGUAUAAAAGAUUAAAUAUUUUAUAGAAAUAGAAAUUUUUAUUUUAAAGUUUGUAAAAAUUUAUUAUUUAAUUUUAUUUAAUUUAUUAUAAUUUAUUUAUUUUUAAUAUUAAAUUUUAUAAUAAAAUAUUUUUUUUAUAGUAAUAAUGAUUAAAUUAGUAUAAUAUUAAUUUAUUAAUUAUGAAUUUGGCAAAAUUUAUUUUCAUCUGUUUAACAAAAACAUUGUAUUAAUUUUUAUUUAAUAUAGGAUCUGCUCAAUGAAUUAAUUUUAAAUAGCUGCAGUAUAAUGACUGUGCAAAGGUAGCAUAAUAAUUAGUUUUUUAAUUGAAAACUUGAAUGAAAGAUUUGAUGAAAAAUAAACUUUAUUAUUAAUAUAUUUAUAAUUUUAUUUUUAAGUAAAAAAGCUUAAAUAAUUUAAAGGGACGAUAAGACCCUAUAAAACUUUAUAAUUUUUAGAUUUAUUUUUUUUUUUGUUUAAAUAAAUUAAUUAAUUUUAAUAAUUAUUUUAUUGGGGUGAUAAAAAAAAUUUUUUAACUUUUUUUAAAUUAAACAUUAUUAAAUGAUUAUUUGAAUUAAAAAUUUUAAUUAAAGGAAAAAGUUACUUUAGGGAUAACAGCGUAAUUAAUUUUUUAAGUUCAAAUUUUAAAAUUAGU
rnacentral:rRNA from 1 species